GCCUUCCUUCUGUUUCAGGCUUCCCCUCUUGCCGUCCCAGGCUCCUGGCUGGGACCCCUAACUCUGACCCCACAGUGAGAUGGAAAAGAACAGCCUGAGUGGACAGUAAGGCCCCGACAAGAUGCGGAGAUGGAAGUGCUAACUCAGCAUGUGUUCUGGGACCAGUGAGCAGAAUGCCCUGCCUCCUUGUUACAGGACUGAGCCACAGGAGGCCUUGGUGGCCUUGGUGACGCAGGGGUGCCCAGGACAGCAUUCUGGGCUUGGCGUCUCAGACGGGAGCCCAAAGGCAGAUUUCAGCUGGAAGAAGAUGUUUCCAAAAGGGAUGCCCUUGACUUUCUUGGCUCCUUGGGGCUCCAUCUUUAGACCACGAAGUGGCACAGAGGACACAGCAUCACCAAGGAGCCUGGCGGCCGUGAUGUAACUAGAUUCACAGAUGGGGAGGCUGAUUCUCGGAAAGUGAGGACAGGUGGUUGAGAUGCUGGGGGCGGUGAGCUGGGGAGACAAAAUUACAGCCCUCCGCUUCUGCAAACAGGCAACACAGAGGGGGAAAACCUAUAAUCACACCAUUAAAG
ensembl:lncRNA